ensembl:lncRNA
AGCACAGGAGUUUGACUUCCCUGCAUGCCAACCAACAAGGAAGGGAGGAUCUGAAAAUUGGUAGCUGAGCAGGGACAUAACACCCAUCCAAACUCAGUCCAAGUCAAAAAUUAUUAACAUCUACUGUCUACUCACAGGUCCGUGAGAGAAAUCGGUCUCCUUCCAGUCUGCAGGUGACUAGCACUGACCACAGGAGAUCAGCAAUCUGCAAGCAAGAGUUGUGGAGGAAAAGGUCACAUACCAUGCAACAGACUGAAYGUGCCCUCCUUUGAGGACUGGCUUUGGAAGGGUCCUAAUUCUGAUGAUGUGCCUGAAGGAAAUUCAGUAAUACAGGACGGUGGAUCACGUGGAUGAUGACCUCUGAACAGAAAUCCAGGAGCACAAAACAGCAGCAUAUUUCAGGAAUCUUGGGGGCAAUUUUGGAGGCAAAGGAAGAGGAGAAGACAGGAGAGAGCGAAGGGAAACAGAACCAACCACUGUUUUGCACAACAGGCAUGCACCAGUAAGGUCAUCAACUUCAUAAAAUCUACGGGGAGAUAGUAAAGAUAUUGAAUGAAGGUGAAAUCUACAGUUAAAAAAGAGCAUGUAAAUAGGUAAGAGUCAAAGAAGGUAGGAUUUAUGGCAUCAAUUUAAAAAUUAAAAACAAAUAACGUGGAAUGCUGAAAAAGGCACAUUAAACCAAAGAAUACUAAUUCCUUCAUAUGAAACAUUUGCUAUUUUAACUAAAACAUUCCUUUUUUAACUUAAAAAGAAUGUUGGAGGAGUAGUUGGUAGAACAGGGCAUUAGGCAAGCCAUUUAUACUGAAUACUUUAAUAAAUCAUCUUAUGUGGCUUAUCUUGAUCUCA